UCCUGGUUAGCUCAGUUGGUAGAGCGCUCCACCGUAAAUGAAGAGGUUCCUGGUUCGAUACCCAGACCAGGCG
rnacentral:tRNA from 1 species